AGGCCCUGCUUGCAGGGUACUCGAGUGUUGAACGGGUGAGUAACACGUGGGUGAUCUGCCCUGCACUUCGGGAUAAGCCUGGGAAACUGGGUCUAAUACCGGAUAGGACCAUCGUUUAGUGUCGGUGGUGGAAAGUUUUUCGGUGCAUGAUGAGCUCGCGGCCUAUCAGCUUGUUGGUGGGGUAAUGGCCUACCAAGGCGUCGACGGGUAACCGGGCUGAAAGGGUGGACGGCCACAUUGGGACUGAUACACGGCCCACACUCCUACCGGAGGCAGCAGUGGGGAAUAUUGCACAAUGGGCGCAAGCCUGAUGCACCGACGCCGCGUGAGGGAUGAAGGCCUUCGGGUUGUAAACUCCUUUCAACCAUGACGAACCAUUAUGUGACGGUCGUGGUACAAGAGGCACCGGCUAACUACGUGCCACCAGCCGCGGUAAUAAUUAGGGUGCUAGCGUUGUCCGGAAUUACUGGUCGUAAAGAGUUCGAAGGUGGUUUGU
rnacentral:rRNA from 1 species